UUCCGGUUGAUCCCGCCGGACCCCACUGCUAUCGGGAUAGGACUAAGACAUGCUAGUUGAGCGCUUCCAGCCAAUACGGGAGCGCAGCGCACAGCUCAGUAACACGUGGCUAAUCUGCCCUUGGGACCGGAACACCCCCGGGAAACUGGGGCUAAUUCUCGAUAGGUGAAGAACUCUGGAAUGAGUCUUUGCUUAAAAGACGUUUACGUUAUGCUCGUAGAUGUCGCCCAAGGAUGAGGCCGCGACCGAUCAGGUUGUUGGUGAGGUAAUGGCUCACCAAGCCUUUUACCGGUGCGGGCCGUGAGAGCGGGAGCCCGGAGAUGGGCACUGAGACAAGGGCCCAGGCCCUACGGGGCGCAGCAGUCGCGAAAACUUUGCAAUACACGAAAGUGUGACAGGGCUAUCCCGAGUGCCAUCCGCUGAGGAAGGCUUUUACCCAGUCUAGAACGCUGGGGGAAUAAGGAGAGGGCAAGUCUGGUGUCAGCCGCCGCGGUAAUACCAGCUCUCCGAGUGGUGUGGAUGUUUAUUGGGCCUAAAGCAUCCGUAGCUGGCUGAGUUAGUCCCUUGUUAAAUCCACCGAAUUAAUCGUUGGAUUGCGGGGGAUACUGCUCGGCUAGGGGACGAGAGAGGCAGACGGUAUUUCCGGGGUAGGGGUGAAAUCCUAUAAUCCCGGGAAGACCACCAGUGGCGAAGGCUGUCUGCUAGAACGCGCCCGACGGUGAGGGAUGAAAGCUGGGGGAGCGAACCGGAUUAGAUACCCGGGUAGUCCCAGCUGUAAACGAUGCAGGCUAGGUGUUUGGACGGCCACGUGCCGUUCUAGUGCCGCAGGGAAGCUGUUAAGCCUGCCGCCUGGGGAGUACGAUCGCAAGAUUGAAACUUAAAGGAAUUGGCGGGGGAGCACCACAAGGGGUGAAGCUUGCGGUUUAAUUGGAGUCAACGCCGGAA
rnacentral:rRNA from 1 species